rnacentral:lncRNA from 1 species
UUUCUUUUUAUAAGAGGAUUUAAAACAAAUGUAUUUACAAUUUAUUUUAUAAGAUGGCAAAUUCUAUUAACUAUGGUGUAACCAUAUUAACUAUGGAUGGGAAUGCAUGUUUUAUCUUCGCACUUCUUUUAAUGAUUCUGUUAUCAGUUCUCAUUUAAUAUAAAUUAAACUAGUUACCAGGAAUGAAUUGGUUUAAGUAGUAAAAGAUUUAAACCCCUUAAGUAUCUGAUUAGGGGUUCAAUAUAAUUUUUGGCUCAUGCGUAUGGAAUAAAAUCUAGAUGGAAAGAAAAAUCUAUCUUGUGUGUCUAAUAAGUUCCUCGACGGAGAUUAAUCACUGCUAACAUGCAGUGAAAACUUCGUACAAAUAUUAUGAUAUAAUUAAGAAAUAAAUAAAUAAACUUGUUUCUUAUUAUAACAGGGAAAUUUUGAGGUUAGCAAGACUUUGCAAAAUGGGUCCUGAUUUGGGAUAUUCCUGUAUUUGUGUUUAAGUUGUUAUUCUAUUUAUUUUUGAGAAAGUUAUUAGAUUCAUUGGCAAUAUACGGAACGUAAGAGCUGAUUAAUUUGUAUUCAAGGUUAAUGGUAGGGUAUUAUCACACUAAAGUAUCUGCAUUUAGUAUUGAUCUUUGAUUUGCAGACUACUAACAAUUCCUGUUUUUUUUAAUCAACAUAUAUUAUUAUCAACAAGCUGGAGGGAAAAAAGGAAUGAGCAGUGGCAAAAAUAGAGAAAAAUGGGAGGGGAGAGUUUUGGGGGUUAACUUUUCUUCAUAAUACUAAACCCUUCUCUAAAAAACUACUCGUUUAAAAAAUUUAAAUCAUAUUUCUCAAUUUUCCCUCAUAUUUUCCACCUCUCAAAGCCUUCCCUUCCUCUCCCCUCCAAACUCACAAACAAAGCCUAAGUUCCGCAAAACAAAAGUGACACCCAUAACAAGCCCUAACCAAACACGGUUCGCCUAUCACACCCAAAACACAACCCCUAUCAAAAAAUGAUCUAGUUAAACUAUCCAUUGGAUUCCAACACCAGUCAUAGAAUAAACAAAUAUGAAUUUUCAACCUAUUCAUACUAAGAAACCACCUUAAUUUGCUCCACUGCAUGGGCGAAUCUACAUUGGAGCUAUGUGGGACUAUAGUUCCACAUGCUUUUCCCACUUAGUUGAUAAAGAACGUGAGCCAUGAUAAUAUUACUUAUGUGUUUUAAUCGGCGACAGUUAAUUGCCAACAGACAUUUUCGUCUUUCACUUGUGUUUUUCAGCCAAAGUAGAAGUGUCAACGACAAUCUUCUUAUUAUC